rnacentral:rRNA from 1 species
UACGGAGGAUGCGAGCGUUAUCCGGAUUUAUUGGGUUUAAAGGGUGCGUAGGCGGGCUUUUAAGUCAGCGGUAAAAAUUCGGGGCUCAACCCCGACAAGCCGUUGAAACUGAUGUUCUUGAGUGGGCGAGAAGUAUGCGGAAUGCGUGGUGUAGCGGUGAAAUGCAUAGAUAUCACGCAGAACUCCGAUUGCGAAGGCAGCAUGCCGGCUCCACACUGACGCUCAUGCACGAAAGCGUGGGUAUCGAACAGG